rnacentral:rRNA from 1 species
ACGUAGUCAACCUGCCCUGGAGACAUGGACAACCCCGGGAAACUGGGAUUAAUCCGUGAUAGGUCAUCUCAUCUGGAAGGAGAGAUGGCUUAAAGGGAUGCGCGGGCUUCUUCUGCGUAUUUGCUCCAGGAUGGGACUGCGUCCGAUCAGGCUGUUGGCGGGGUAAUGGCCCACCAAGCCAGUAACCGGUACGGGCCUUGAGAGAGGUGGCCCGGAGAUGGACACUGAGAGAAGGGUCCAGGUCCUACGGGGCGCAGCAGGCGCGAAACCUUCGCAAUGCGCGCAAGCGUGACGAGGUUAAUCCGAGUGAUUUCCGCUGAGGAGACCUUUUGUCUGCUGUAAAUAGGCAGGCGAAUAAGGGGAGGGCAAGCCUGGUGUCAGCCGCCGCGGUAAUACCAGCUCCUCGAGUGGUCGGGGCGAUUAUUGGGCCUAAAGCAUCCGUAGCCGGUUCCGUAGGUCCUCUGUUAAAUCCAACCGCCCAACGGUUGACCUGCAGAGGAUACCGCGAGACUAGGAGGCGGGAGAGGCGGACGGUACUCCGCGUGUAGGGGUAAAAUCCUUUGAUCCGCGGAAAGA